rnacentral:rRNA from 1 species
ACGCUGGCGGCACGCCUAACACAUGCAAGUCGAACGAAGUAGCAAUACUUAGUGGCAGACGGGUGAGUAACAUGUAGGUAUCUGCCCUUUGGCCUGGAAUAACACGAGGAAACUUGUGCUAAUACCGGAUAAGUCUUUACGGAGAAAGCUUUAUGCACCAUUGGAUGAGCCUGCACUUGAUUAGUUUGCUGGUGGGGUAAUGGCCUACCAAGACUGUGAUCAAUAGCUGAUUUGAGAGGAUGAUCAGCCACAUUGGGACUGAGACACGGCCCAAACUCCUACGGGAGGCAGCAGUGGGGAAUCUUGCACAAUGGAGGAAACUCUGAUGCAGCGAUGCCGCGUGAGUGAAGAAGGCCUUUGGGUUGUAAAGCUCUUUCGUCGGGGAAGAAAAUGACUGUACCCGAAUAAGAAGGUCCGGCUAACUUCGUGCCAGCAGCCGCGGUAAUACGAAGGGACCUAGCGUAGUUCGGAAUUACUGGGCUUAAAGAGUUCGUAGGUGGUUGAAAAAGUUGGUGGUGAAAUCCCAGAGCUUAACUCUGGAACUGCCAUCAAAACUUUUCAGCUAGAGUAUGAUAGAGGAAAGCAGAAUUUCUAGUGUAGAGGUGAAAUUCGUAGAUAUUAGAAAGAAUACCAAUUGCGAAGGCAGCUUUCUGGAUCAUUACUGACACUGAGGAACGAAAGCAUGGGUAGCGAAGAGGAUUAGAUACCCUCGUAGUCCAUGCCGUAAACGAUGUGUGUUAGACGUUGGAAAUUUAUUUUCAGUGUCGCAGCGAAAGCGAUAAACACACCGCCUGGGGAGUACGACCGCAAGGUUAAAACUCAAAUGAAUUGACGGGGACCCGCACAAGUAGUGGAGCAUGUGGUUUAAUUCGAAGAUACGCGCAGAACCUUACCAACACUUGACAUGUUCGUCGCGACUCUAAGAGAUUAGAGUUUUCGGUUCGGCCGGACGAAACACAGGUGCUGCAUGGCUGUCGUCAGCUCGUGUCGUGAGAUGUUGGGUUAAGUCCCGCAACGAGCGCAACCCUCACUUUUAGUUGCCAUCAUUAAGUUGGGCACUCUGAAAGAACUGCCAGUGAUAAGCUGGAGGAAGGUGGGGAUGACGUCAAGUCCUCAUGGCCCUUACGUGUUGGGCUACACACGUGCUACAAUGGUAUCUACAACAGGAAGCAAGACUGCGAGGUCAAGCAAAUCCUUAAAAGAUACCUCAGUUCGGAUUGCACUCUGCAACUCGAGUGCAUGAAGCUGGAAUUACUAGUAAUCGUGGAUCAGCGUGCCACGGUGAAUGCGUUCCCGGGUCUUGUACACACCGCCCGUCACACCAUGGGAGUUGGUUCUACCUUAAGGCAAGGUUUAAUACCCUUGACCACGGUAUAGUCAGCGACUGGGGUGAAGUCGUAACAAGGUAGCCGUAGGGGAACCUGCGGCUGGAUUACCUCCUUUCU